rnacentral:tRNA from 1 species
GGUGAGGUGGCCGAGUUGGUCUAAGGCGUGAGACUAAGGUAUAUCUAAAUCUCAUCUCUUCGGAGGCGCGAGUUCGAAUCUCGCCCUCAUCA